rnacentral:rRNA from 1 species
AUACGGAGGGUGCAAGCGUUACUCGGAAUCACUGGGCGUAAAGCGCACGCAGGCGGCUAUUUAAGUUGGAUGUGAAAGCCUACGGCUCAACCGUAGAACUGCAUCCAAAACUAUUUAGCUAGAGUGUGGGAGAGGAAGAUGGAAUUAGUUGUGUAGGGGUAAAAUCCGUAGAGAUAACUAGGAAUACCAAAAGCGAAGGCAAUCUUCUGGAACACUACUGACGCUGAGGCGCGAAAGCGUGGGGAGCAAACAGGAUUAGAAACCCCAGUAGUCC